CCUUCUGUGCUGUGUUAUGUUCACAGGCUUUCCACACAGGAGCUGCCAGAGACUCUGGCAGGCGCAGAAGGCCACCUAACUGCAGUCCAGGCCAACACUUGUUAUAGGAACAACAAUGGGACCGGUGCCUCUCUGCUCACACUCCCUACAAGCUAUUUGGCAUAUGAAGGUCCUGACCUGAGAAAACCAUCUUGGAUAACCACGCAAGGAGAGGGAAAAAUGCAACACCUAGGAGAUUUCAGUAAACAGUAGAAUCAUGCCAACCUAAUCUGUGUUAAAAUGCUUGGAAUGUGGGAGCCGCCGAGGAUGCCUGUUGUCUGUGUGUCUGACUGAAUCCUUUCUUUUCUCAGAGCAGCAAAGCCAAGCCUGGGAACCAGGCCAAAUGCCUGCCACUUACCUUAAAUUGAUCAGCCACUUUGAGAUUAAAACCCCUGAAAGCUGCCACACCGUGAAAACAAGGCCUCCUUCACAUUAAAGGCAAAUUGCGACUUUGGGUUUGCUGUGAUCUUUUUUCCAUUUUAUCCAGUUUUUCACUGUGCACACUUUUUUUUUUUCCUUUCCACUUAUGCUCCAGUGUAGAAGCCAAUAGUUACAGCAUCUUGGCCAGGCAUUCAUUAAGGUUUAUAAGAACAAAAUUUAUGGUUAUUUAGGAGCUGGCACAAAGACAGACUGUUGCUGGAAAAAGAAAAAGAAAUACAGGUGGGAAAUAUAAGUCUCAACAAAGGCUCAUACUAUAUAGUAGUGUGCUGGGCUCUCAGCAGUGGUCUGGGAGGAAAAUUAUAUUGUAUUUAAAACCAGCCAUUCCUCUACUCUGAGUCCUCCCCAUUUUAUGGUUCUGUAGAAUUAAAACAAAUAUACCGGUCAUUCCCAGAGAUUUUUCUGUCUUGUGUAAGUGCUACCAUUUAUAGGAGUGGGCAGCCAUAGAGAUGAAUAGAUGUGUGUCAGUCUGGGUGAUAAUCUGUCAGCUUGGCUAAUGGAGCACAUUUAAAAAUAUAUAUAAUAUGGAUUAGAAUAAGGGCUCUGUCUGUGAAGAGACGAGUCAUGUUAUCCUUCUCAGUAGACCUUACAUAAUGGCAGGGCCUGUGUUCCCAAAAAUGUAGGGUGUGGGCAAAACACACCCAUAAUCUUUGAAUUCAGGUAAUAACGUGGAAUUCUGGCAUAGGCUGGAAGUCCAUAUUCUCCCUCAGGAAAUAUUGUUACUGAUUCUUUUUUUUUUUUUUAAUACUCUGAUUUCCUGAAGUAGUAGAAUAAG
rnacentral:lncRNA from 1 species